rnacentral:tRNA from 1 species
AGAAUCUUAGGUUACAUUAAACCAGAGGCCUUCAAAGCCCCAAACAGGGUACUAACACCCUAGCUUCUG